GACACCCUCCACUGGUAACAGAGCAGAAUAGAGAACCCAGAAAUAAAACUGCACACCUACAGCCAUCUGACCUUUGAAAAACCUGUGGGUUUUAUCCAAUUCUUUGUUCAAAAUGCCAAGAACCUGGACACCCUCCACCGGUAACAACAGGUACUGGGGCUUAAGACUUCAAUAUAUCCUUCUGAGGACAUAAUUCAACACAUAACCCUUUCACAAAGAAAAUGACAAGAAUUUAAGAUAGAAUAAGAAUGUUAGAAUAGAAAUGGUCUUAACAGUUUUCUACAAUAACCACCUACUUGUAUUUUUGAAGAAACAGGCAUGGAGUGAUUAGGAGAUUUACCCAUGGUCACACACAGAUAAAAAAGGACAGAGCUGGAAUUGGAAAUUGGUAGUGACAGGGAAAUUUACAAAUCAUGCAAAUACAUUUCUGGUUAAACACCUAAAACAGUCAAGGCUGGCCCUCGGAAAAGAGUGGGAAUUAGGCAGCUUAUCUGAGUCUUUCUCAUCUCCCUUCAUUUAUUUCUGCUUUCUUCCCUGUUGGAACCUCCUUGGCCUCACUCUCUCCUCUAGGAGCAGGUGGCAUAUACUGAGUGCUUCCUAUGUGCUGGACAUUGUGCUACGUCUUCCUCAUUUAAUUCUCAUAACAUAGUGGUAAACACUAUUAUGAUCCCAUUUUACAAAUGAGGAAACUGGACUUCAGAUAUUAUGAUUCUGUUUUAUAAAUGAGGAAACUGGACUGAGAUGCAAACACAGGCAGAGCUCACAUUUGUCUUAAAAAUUAUUGUAUACAUCUAAAAGGUACAAAUGUAAUUUUGUUCUAUGGAUGUAUUGCACAGUCUGAAAUCUAGGCUUUUAGUGUAUCCAUGACUCAAAUAAUGUGCAUUGUAUCUAUUAAGUAAUUCUCAGCACCCACCCUCUCCCAUCCACAUUCUUUUUUUUUUUUUUUUUUAACUGCUCUCUUAUUCUAUUCCUCCUCCUUGCCAUUGCCCCCCACUGCCAUACACCUACACACAGUUUAUGCUUUGCUCACAGUCCCUUCCUGGAGGCCCUCCUUAAGCCUGCCUUCCUAGACAGGGUUCUAUAUUUCAGAAUCGUCUCUUGUACUCUGCCUGUUUCAGUGACGAGGUGGUACAGAAAGAAACCAGUUGGCUGUAUGAGCAGGUCCUUCCAGGGGCAGAGGGUCUGUUUUGCAAAUUUGAGGAUUCAGAAACUUUGUCAGCUCUCCCAGAAGUGUUCGGGUCUAGGGAUGGGAUUGCCCUACCUAAAUUUACAAUUGGUUGAUUGCAAAUCCAGAAUACCAAUUCGUGGAUUUACACUGAGAAAGAUGCCUGCGAACUGCUGCAACCAGAAAGCAAUAUUGAAAAGGGAGAGCUGCCCAGACAGGGCCUUGCCAGGGGUCUGAUAGCGAGAUUCUAAUGCCCAUGAGUAGGGUGCUGGUCUCUCUGCCACUGAAGGGAACAGGACAGAUGGGCUGGGAGUGCAGGCCAUGGGCUUGACUCCUGGGUAGCACGGUCCCAGGGGCUAGGUUGUCUCAGGGCUUUUCCUCAGGCAACCUGAGGCAGAAAGUCAGAUACUUAUGUGGAGAAGGGCCAAGGCUCUAGCAGGAAAGCCAGUGCCAGGACUUGAAUUCAGAGGACAGAAAGGGGAACACGAGGAGGGAAUUCAGUAGCUCAGGAAGAUGUGGGCAGGCAAACAGUGCUGGAUUCUUUGCUCAGUCUGAGCCUUGUCUUGGACUCUUUGGAUUUAGGCCUGCACAAGGUCAUCCUGGUGAUCAAACCCCAGCUUUCUCCUGAGGGCUUUGACUUGACCUGACCUUCAGGGCCUUGGCAGACUGUGCUGUCUCUGGCAGAAGCUUCAUACUCUGGCUCUGACCACAUAAAUCUCAGUCCUCCGCAGGAUGGGAGGAUUCAGGUAUUUAGCCACAAAUCUACGGUUCCUGAGGUCCCCAUUAGCUGCCCUGGCAAUGCCCCGCCACCCUCCACUCCCUGAGUCUGUCAUGGUCCAAGAAGGAAAAUGCAAAGUUCCAUGGGUAGGUUUCUACUUUGGCAGACCAGAAAGUACAGGUGAGAGCAGAGUUGAUUCCAUAGCUGGUUCAGAGAGCAAGAAAGCUUUAGGUAAAAGUCUUACAACAGACAUGUUGGAUUUUUCCACUGUUGCUUGCCUUUCUCUUUUUGCAUCAUUGGAUCCAGAAAUCGUUAGGUUUUUUGCCUCUGUCGUGUUAUCUCUCACUUGCGGACAUUAUUGCAACAGGCAUUAACUUCUUAUUUUAUUAGUAGCCAUUAACCAUACACAAUUGAUCUACGUGGCUUCUAAAGAGCCACAUCAACUGCACCUGUGUUCCAGUCACCUCCACUGACAGCUGGCUUCAGCAGUCACCCAGCUGGAUGAGCUGCCCUGGAUCAGAGCAUUGUCUGUUAAUCACUAAUUCCACGAUUAUAAAAGAUAUUCUCCUGGCUGGGGCAUGGUGGCUCACAACUGUAACCCCAACACUUUGGGAGGCUGAGUCUAGCUUCCCUGCGCCUUCCACCAUGAAUGGAAGCAGCCUGAGGACCUCACCAGAAGCUAAGUAGAUGCUAUGGCCAUGCUUCUUGUACAGUCUGCAGAACCAUUAUUUAUGAAAACUGCAAUAGUCAUGAUUUAAAGUUAUGGAACCACCACUGCAAAAUUAUAUCUGAGACAGUUGAAAAGAUCUGACCUAACUGACUCCAUCUUGCUUCUAACCUCCAAGCAGUCCUUGUUCAUUCCUGAGCACAGGCCAAACUAA